rnacentral:lncRNA from 1 species
CUUUACGAAGACUUUGAAUAUCCAAAUUGCUUUGAUUUUAAACUCACCAUUUAUAUUUUAGGUAAAUUUAAUGCAAAUCUUCAGUUCAAGUGCACAGAAUUUGUUUAAAAACCCUGAAGAUGCUUUCAUGAUCUACACAUCUGUCAUUGCUGUUGCUUAUCACCGUUCCUGGGAAUCUGGCACUUCAUCAGCCGUCUUUCUUUCCAUGUAAUGAACACUGUUCUCCCUGACUCAGGUCAUGAGGAUAGAGCCCUCAUGUAUGGGAUUAGUGCUCUAAAAAGACCUCAGAACGUUCCAUUUCUCCUUCUGCCAUGUGAGCUGAUAGCAAGAAGACAGCUGUCUAUGAACCAGGAAAUGAAUCCUCACCAGACAGCAAAUCUGCCAGCCUCUUGAUCUUGGACCUCCCAGGCUUCA